rnacentral:rRNA from 1 species
CAGCAUGUCCGCAAAGCAGAGAGGGAGAACGAGAAGCAUAACCGCCUCAAUGAUCUCUUCGGUGAGCAUGGCAAAAUGCUAGAAGCGGAUAGGCAGAGCAAUGGGAAAGCAUGUAUAUUGAAUGACACCACUCGGAUACUUCGACAUCUGCUUUCGCAAUUAGAGUCUCACCGAAUGGAGAAUAGCACCCUGCAGAAUGAAUCUCAUUAUGUUACAAUGCAGAGGAAUGAGCUGCAGGAUGAGAACAGUCGCUCUGCAAUUCUGGAGCUCCAAAAUGAUCUGAUGAUACGGGUCGCGGGAAAACCAGGUUGGGGCCAUUGUACCGCUGGGUCGCCUCACCCUUUUUCUCACACUGGCGGCACCGUUUUUCCAGCACAGCCACCGACUGUCACAAGCACAAUAUUCCCCUUUCAGCAGCCAAUAGUCAUGGAGCGCUCUUAUGCAGCACCACCACGGGAACUUAAGCUCUUCCCAGACGAGGCGUCUGAUAUCGAAGGCCUUGAACCAUCACAAGACCACCGGUAGGGCCCCAACCAUUACCAUGUUGCCCGACCGCAGGCAAGGUACCCAACACAGUCAGCCUCGUGGCUUGUAAGCCUGGGCCUGCAGAAGAUGGAAGAUGAACAAUGUAGCAGUAGCACAACCCGUAGUAGUAAGGAAAGUAGUAGCUCUGCCUCUGAUAGAGAUUGA